rnacentral:rRNA from 1 species
GCCUCCUUCAUGUUGUCGCGUAUGGAGUUGUGAACUGAAGACUUUUUACUUUUUGCAAGGUUAUUUGGGCGUGGUAAGGUUCAUUCGGGGCCAGCCAACAAUGUCGUUUGGCAGCAAUGCUGCGUGGCUUAUCUUGUAUGAGGGAACGCUCAUCCAUGGAGGCUGGUUGGUUGUAAGGGUCUCCUUGGGUGGGAGAUAAACUUCAUCUAAAGCUAAAUAUCGACGCGCAAUCGAUAGGAAACAAGUACCGGGGGGGAUAGUUGGAAGAACUUUGAAGAGAGAGUUCAAGAUAACGUGAAAUCGCUGAAGUGGAACCGGACAGAGUUAACAUAACUUGGUAGCUAUAUUCUCUAUAGUCGCUUAGCUGUGGCUUUGGGGGGUGGACGCUACCUGUUGUUGGGCUGACUGCGUUGAUCAUGCUUUCCUAACAAUGUAUUGUUGCCCACAUUGUGGUGUCUUGCUUAUUGGGAGGUUUGUCAUGGUUAACGUCAAGCUUUAGUUUCUAGGGAGUCAUUGUGAAAGUUAACCACCUUUCCGACCCGUCUUGAAACACGGACCGAGGAGUGUAAUUUACACGCGAGUCAAAGGGCUGAGGAAACCUUAUGGCAUAAUGAAAGUAAAGACCGGUUAACCGGUUGACAUGGGAUCCGACUGAACUUCUUCUAAACGGAGCACCAUGGCCCUGUCUUGUCUGCUUGCAGAUGGGCAGCGGUAGAGCGUGUAUGUUGCGACCCGAAAGAUGGUGAACUAUGCUUGAGCAGGACGAAGCCAGAGGAAACUCUGGUGGAAGUCCGUAUCGGUUCUGACGUGCAAAUCGGAUCGAUAGACUUGAGUAUAGCGGGCGAAAAGACUGAAUCGGAUCCGUCUAGGUAGCUGGGCUCCCUCAGAAGUUUACCUCAAGGGAUAGCUG